UGACCCAUGUUUAACGGCCGCGGUACCCUGACCGUGCAAAGGUAGCAUAAUCACUUGUUCUCUAAAUAGGGACUUGUAUGAAUGGCCACACGAGGGUUUAACUGUCUCUUACUUUUAAUCAGUGAAAUUGACCUAUCCGUGAAGAGGCGGAUAUAGCUCAAUAAGACGAGAAGACCCUAUGGAGCUUUAAUCUAAUAGCGCAAACUAAUUACUCUAAAACCCACAGGCAUUAAAUUACCGUCCAUGUGCUAUAAAUUUCGGUUGGGGUGACCUCGGAGCACAGUUCAACCUCCGAGAAACAUAUACCAAGACUUUACCAGUCUAAGUAAAUUAACAUCUAUUGACCCAAUAACUUGAUCAACGGACCAAGUUACCCUAGGGAUAACAGCGCAAUCCUAUUUUAGAGUCCAUAUCGACAAUAGGGUUUACGACCUCGAUGUUGGAUCAAGACAUCCCAGUGGUGCAGCAGCUACUAAGGGU
rnacentral:rRNA from 1 species